rnacentral:rRNA from 1 species
UGUGCCUACGGGAGGCAGCAGUGGGGAAUAUUGCACAAUGGGGGGAACCCUGAUGCAGCGACGCCGCGUGGGUGAAGGAGUACUUCGGUACGUAAAGCCCUAUCAGCAGGAAAGAAAAUGACGGUACCUGACUAAGAAGCCCCGGCUAACUACGUGCCAGCAGCCGCGGUAAUACGUAGGGGGCAAGCGUUAUCCGGAUUUACUGGGUGUAAAGGGAGCGUAGACGGCAGUGCAAGUCCGGAGUGAAAGCCCGGGGCUCAACCCUGGGACUGCUCUGGAAACUGUGGAGCUAGAGUGCUGGAGAG